UGAAGUAACAGUGCUUGAAGUGAGAUGCAGGGUUAUGGUCAUGCAAACGGAACGCGGAUUCUGGAGCAAUGUCUCAGUUUUGGCUAUUAAAAGUGAUAACAAAGCUCAUGACGGUGUUACUUCUUUGGCAAACUUAAUAUAUUGUGGCAUUACCAUUUGCCUCAUAGCUAUAGUACUUUCAUGCAUCCUGGUGGUUUUAAGAGUUUAUGUGUUGUGUGAUAGCAUCGGUAUGUAUUAUUGUGUGUUUGCGCGCGCGCGCCUGUGUGUGUGUGAUUAUUUGUCUGUGUCUGUGGUAAUUCUAUUUCGAUUAAUUUUUUACAACAGAUUUACAUGUAUAAAAUAUUUACUAACCACACCCCUACCCCCAAUUGUUAAACGGAAUAGUACAUUAUAGAUUUUUUAUGUAUUAAAUACGAGGGAUGAUAAAAAAUUAUCCGGACUUUGUAAAUAGUUCUUUACCUGUUAAAUGAAUUUACAUAAAAAUAUACGGAAAAUAAAUCGGAAUGAUUCAAAAAAUACCAACAAGAAAUAUUAACAAAGAAAAAAGAUAUGCUGUUUUUGGCAUGUACAUGUAAAGCAAUGCGGCGCACAGUAUAACUUUAAAUUGACGUUAACGACGUCACAAGCGUAUUGUUCUUAACGGAGCAGAUUUUUACUCAUUCAUGGAGUAGGUCGAUUCGUGGUCAUGUUGUUGAUACGGCGGAUCCACUGCCUAUAUAUAUUUCUGUACAAGUGGGUAUCAUAUUGUAUUGUAAUAGAAUGGAUGAUGAUAAAGGGCUCCUGUAAUCACGCAAACUACCGUUCUGUCCUAUUGUAACUUGAUUGUUGGAAAAACCGCACAAGC